AGAAGCUUGUUUUUUGGUCACGUGCUGAAAGAUUAGCAAUCUCAUCUUAGUUUUGUUUUGUUUAAAUGCUAGUCAGCAUCAAAUGCUGAAUAUGAUUAUAUCAGAUCAUUAUUUUAUUCCUUCUGUAAAUAAAAAAAACCUGUGUGGGCAAAAUGUCACAGCUCAUUUUUGCUGUAGAAGAUUUCCUGAAUCAAGUCAAAUCAAUAUCAAAUUUGUUUGCGUUUUAUUUAAAACCAUCCAUCAGGAAAACCCAUCUUCUGUUGAUGGUAAUCUGCGGCUAAGGGCCCUGUUUGUUUCCUAUCACAAUACACCACUAUAUACAUCAUCAUCAUUAUUCCAGACAGAAGAGAAAGGCUAGCUUUACAAACUUACUCUCAAAAAUUAUGCAUAUUCUUAAAAACAACACCAGCUUUAGUCUUUUUGGCUACACAAUUUUUUUACAGACCGGCUGAACUUAAGAUCAAGUUUAAAUAGGUCACAUAAGAAUUAAUAUGAAAACACAGACAGACAGACAGUGGGUAAUUAUGCUUUCCUUACUCGGCAAAUUCCACGCAUGUAAAUGUUGUAGAGAAACACUGCCACCCAGUGUUGAAUUACAGAAUGUGGUGGACACAUUUGGAAUAGCUGGUACUGUAAUUGGUAAAGCCAAUACUGAUCAUUAUAUAGAUUAUUUAUAUGUGUGUAAAUUGUUGGGUUGAGAUCUGGUGACUUUGGGGGCCAUUUUAUUACAGUGAACUCAUUGUCAUGUUCAAGAAACCAAUUUGAAAUGAUUCAAGCUUUGUGACAUGGUGCAUUAUUCGGCUGGAAGUAGCCAUCAGAGGAUGGGUACAUGGUGGUCAUAAAGAGAUGGACAUGGUCAGAAACAAUGCUCAGGUAGGCCGUGGCAUUUAAACGAUGCCCAAUUGGCACUAAGGGGCCUAAAGUGUGCCAAGAAAACAUCCCCCACACCAUUAUACCACCACCACCAGCCUGCACAGUGGUAACAAGUCAUGAUGGAUCCAUGUUCUCAUUCUGUUUACGCCAAAUUCUGACUCUACCAUCUGAAUGUCUCAACAGAAAUCGAGACUAUCAGACCAGGCAACAUUUUUCCAGUCUUCAACUGUCCAAUUUUGGUCCAGAUCAGAAAUCUGUGGUAGAGGAGGACUUUGACAAGAGGGGGUCAGAGUUUUCCUCUCACCAUGAGCUUUCUGGCGUGUCUGGCACAAGCACUGACACCAGCUCCCUCACUAAAGGGUAAAGGAUCUGUGGGUCACCGUGGACCACGACAAGGACGAGUCCUCUAUCAGCAAAGGCACACAUGAGAUGAGAUUCUGUCUGCUUGUGUCAUCUUCAGAGAGUUUUCAUAGAGAGUCUAGAGGAUUUAUGUAAUCACAAAAGAGGAUAUCAAGCACACAGAGCCUGAAGAUCUUCAGCGAAGGGCAAAGACUUUGGUCUUUUAUUUGGUGCAUUGUUUCAGGUUGUGAAUAUGUGUCUGCAGCCUUCCGGUAGGGCUCAUUCUGGUCAACUUUGCCCUGACGUCAGAUGAGGCGUUGUGGGGAUGUGAGCAGAGAAAAAGGCAGGACACACUGCUUGUCAUCACAAAAAGGAUUUUUAUUCUCUCCCUGAAAUUAACUGGGAUCCUCCUCACGGAGAGACCUCAGCACAACAUCCAAAGGAACCCUAUAUAACUAAGGGUUAAACCAAUAUACCCACACAUAGGGAAAAUGAAAAUCAUGAACAUAAAUACACAAGCAACAUACAUUUAACACUUAAGUUCAAAAUUAAUCUUAACAUCAAUAAACAAUCCCCAAAACAAAUAUAAAAACAAAAUACAAAAAUAACCACAAUACAUUUCCAAAAAUAGUAUUCCAAACAGACACAAACCAAUGACUCCCCUGCUCACUCAUAUUGGAUGGACUAUGCCUACAUUACCCAUAAUCCUCCAGGAUAGCAUAUAAUGAGGAACAGGAAGGCCGCGCAUCCUCUUUAACUUUACUCCCGGAUAGCAUGCUGCAGUCAUGCACCCCGAAAAACAAAAGGCGUGUACAAUGCUGAGGGAGACACUGGAUAGGGAGAUGCUCCGACUCUGCAGAGAAGAGCGUUGGGACCGGAAAUUGGUCGACCUCUACAGGUUCAUGAAGAACUAAAUAAUGCAGAUACUGUUGAGGACAUGGAGAUAGAGUAUAGUUCUCAACUUUCAUCUCCUAAUGGUCUGUCGGCUCCGCUUGCGCCUCCUUAGGCCCAGGCGUCUCAGUCCUCUCAGAUACAAUUUGGCAGAUGUAGUUGAGGACAUGGAGGUUGAAUACAGUUCUUCAUCUCAGUAAUUUUUUCAAAGUCUCUGAAUUAAUCUGUAACCAGUAUAGUAUUACAUUUAGCGGCUCCUCACGCGUCUCCUUCCCUACCUCUCUCUAGAAAGCGUCUGGCUCCUUCACAGCACAGUAAUGGAGAUAAGGAUGAGAUGGAGGUGACACUAAAGAGGGCCAGACUGUGUGUAACAGCAAGCAAUAUUAAAGCUCAACUGUCGGCUCUGAUUGCGGCAAAAUUUCACCAAAGCCCUAAACAUUAUUAGAGACAAUUUCAUUGGGAAAAAUAGUUUCAUGUACAUGUAUUAAAUCUCUGAUUGUUUUAUUUACAACAACAACAAAAAAAAACACUAUGGAGGAGGUGGAGGUCGACUGUUGUUCUGUUUUUCAUCGGCCUAUCCAGCAAGUGCCUCCUCCCGCCUCUCCUCCUCAGCAUCCCUCUCGCAAGUGUCGGUCUCCUUGUACUGCACAGGAAGGAUGGUGGCCAUGGCCAAAAAAAACCUUUAAAAAACCUCACCUGCUCAAACCCCACCCCCAUGUGCAGCAAACAAAUAAAGAGACACAAUUUGUCUAUUAAAUGUACAAUAGUGCAGAAACAAUGGUUUGUGACACAUUCAUUUGUUUAUAAUAAAUGUUUGUGCAAAUACAUUGUCAUUCUUGAGCCAGAAAUUUUAACAUGCAUGUUACUUAAGUGACAAUGUGGCAAUGUUAUAGUAAAUGGGUAUAACAGAUAGAAACACAUGAUGCCAGUCCUGUUCUAAAUAAUUGAAUAUUUACAAAGGGAUAGAAGUUAUCCCUGCCUGCACUCCCUGAUAGGCAUGUGCAUUUAACCUGACCCACAGAAUGACACAGGUGAAGCACAGGUAUAAUUUAACCUGACCCACAUAGUGAUACAGGUGAAGCACAGACUUCACUAGGUGACACCCACUGGAACACAGAAAUGGCAAGGUGGUCAGAGAUUCCGUAUUAUUAGUUAGGAUCAUGUACAUAAUGAAAUGAUAUUAUAAAUAUAUAUUUCAUGUAUUAUUUUAUUUCUAAAACAUGCACUGCUGAUCCUUAGUCUCCUCUUUACAUUUGAUAUUUGGUAUUUUUCUGAAUCACCAUUUUCUUAAAAAAAAGGCCUUUGGCAGCUACCUUACCUACCUAAGGAUAUGGAGAUAUUUGGAUAUAUUAAAUGAUAAAGUACAUAUUAUAUCAUAUAGAACAUUUUACUAUGGGCACUAAUGUAACAUUUACAUUCUCCACUUCUGUCACAGCAGAUGCUAAUUGUUCAUUCUUAGUGCAGUGUACCUGAAAAGCAUUACACAAAAUUAUUGAAAAUCUGAAGAGGCUUUAUGACAUUAAAAAUGAAGAUGAUACAGACAAUCAUGUCUUUGUUCUUCAUUCAAUUUCUGUUUUGUUGGAGCUUUUACUGAGUUGUUUCUGGGUCUGGCUGAGGUCUAAAAAAAUCAACUGUAUGGAAGUCUGGUUGACAUUUUAAGUAACAGUCCAUAUGUGAUCAUUAUCAGACGUGAUCAGAUAAAUUUGUUUCAAUUUCCUGAUCAGAUCUUUGUAGAUUUUUUCAAGGAUUUCAACACUGCACUUUAUCAUUUAGUAUUUUGGAUCCCUUUCUCUUGCAUUGUCAGCACCAAGUUUCUCCCCUUCUCUUUCCAUCAUUUCUUUGUGUACUUCAGUGCAGUUGUUCUAAUGAUGGCAGGUAGCUGUCAUCACUUUGUUUGGAUCCUUGUCUUAUUCUACUUUAUAAUUUUUUCCUUUUUUUAUUCAUCCCAGUCAGUUUAAGG